GCUUACGGCCAUACCACCCUGAAUGCGCCCGAUCUCCUCUGAUCUCGGAAGCUAAGCAGCAUCAGGCCGGGUUAGUACUUGGAUGGGAGACCGCCUGGGAAUACCAGGUGCUGUAAGCU
ensembl:rRNA 5S_rRNA 5S ribosomal RNA